CGACCUAUUGUUACCACGGG
rnacentral:misc_RNA from 1 species